AAAAAAAAUUAAUGACGAUGGCAUGAUAACAACAAUUAGUUUCGUUUUAGUCCUUUUUUAUUUUAUGAAAGCAACUUAUAAGAGCUAUCUUCUCAUAGUUAAUGCUCAAAAACCAUCAUUCAUAAAAUUGGGUUGUCCAUGUUUUAUCUACACAAAAUCUUGUCAUUUUGCACAAUCUUUUAGCUCGAAAAAAGAUUUCCAUGACCCUUUUUUUUUAUAUUAUAUUUAAGGUAGAUACAUGGUAUACCGCCAUCUUGGAUUUUACAAUCACAG
rnacentral:lncRNA from 1 species